AUUGAACGCUGGCGGCAUGCCUUACACAUGCAAGUCGAACGGCAGCACGGGGCAACCUGGUGGCGAGUGGCGAACGGGUGAGUAAUGCAUCGGAACGUACCUUUCAGUGGGGGAUAACGUAGCGAAAGUUACGCUAAUACCGCAUAUUCUGUGAGCAGGAAAGCAGGGGAUCGCAAGACCUUGCGCUGAUGGAGCGGCCGAUGUCAGAUUAGCUAGUUGGUGAGGUACAGGCUCACCAAGGCGACGAUCUGUAGCGGGUCUGAGAGCAUGAUCCGCCACACUGGAACGGAGACACGGUCCAGACUCCUACGGGAGGCAGCAGUGGGGAAUUUUGGACAAUGGGGGCAACCCUGAUCCAGCCAUGCCGCGUGAGUGAAGAAGGCCUUCGGGUUGUAAAGCUCUUUCGGCCGGGAAAAAAUCGCAUGGGUUAAUACCCUGUGUGGAUGAUGGUACCGGAAUAAGAAGCACCGGCUAACUACGUGCCAGCCGCCGCGGUAAGAC
rnacentral:rRNA from 1 species